UUUGGACAGUCUGCAGGGACAUUAUUUUGGUUACUACUGGUGUGCUGAGGUGCAUGUAUGUCUGUCUUGUGUACAUAAAGGCUACUGCUAGGAUCUCGGAGGCCAAAAAGCUGCAAAAAUUGGUGGGCACAGAUUGACAUUUAAGAGCUAUUAGGGUACUUGCCCACCUGACCCAAAGACUCUUGUGUUUGAAAGAUGGUCAUGGAAGAGGUAGACUGAUACUAGGUCUAGGUCAACUGCCAACGUCAAGAAAACUGUGUAACGAGGCACACUGUAACACAUGUAUAACCCCCAAAACAGCAGCAAGUCCCUCUUAGGUAUUAGUUUGGCUCUGAGAAACCCAAAGGCCUAGCUAAAGAAAUGAGAUUCUUUAUGUUCAGAGAGUUGAGUGUGCCACCUUCUGGCACAGCUGCUUAUUUUGUGUCUAAAAACUUAGUCCUAAAAGAUGCAGAUGACUAGUAAAAUGAAUAAAUUUUACUGAGAACAAUGUGGAAUUACAAUGGCCAUUAUGGGGGAGCACUCCAAUUAGACAACCUCAUUCAUUUAAGAAGAAUACUUGAAAGCAAGGGCUCUCAAAUUAAACAGAGCAAAUGGUCCAAUUAGGAAGCAGAAUCCUCUAAAAGGUUUUAAAAUUCUGUAAUAGUUUCAUUAAAAAAGCUAAUGAAAAAGAGAAAAGGUAUCUAAAACAAGACUAAUAAGAUGUGCUGUAACUCCUACUUCUCCCCUCUAUCCUUUGAGUACUCAUCCCAGUGAUCCUCUGUCUACACUGCCUUUCCACUCUAAAGAGACUAUGGCAACAAUUACCUUUUAAAAUAAGACCACCUGAGGUUAUAGAGGAUCUUUCACCCUUUGGUCAAAGGCCAAAUUAAGGGCUGUAGUUAGAGAAUUUCUUAAACUCAGGGAGGAUCCUUAAGAGUUUCUCUGAACACCUUACCUCCUGAGCUCACUUGAGAGAGGGUAAUAAAAUUUCACACUGUCACUUCCUUUCCAAAUCUAGAUCCACUAUUAUUGAUCUUUUGUGGGAAGAGCUGUUUCCUUCUUGCUUGUUAUUUUUAUAUCCUAAAUAUGGCUUGGUUUUCUGCCUGCCUAGGACUUGAAGGUUGUUGGUUCUUCUUUUUGCUCUCUUUGGGAGUGACUCUAGACCUUGUGAAGGUAGUAACUUUUACACCCUCUUUGAGGAUGCCUCUUGGGUCCCUGAAGUUCUUUAAUACUGCCAGAAAUAUUUACUAUUUGUCCCAGAUGAAACCUGACAGACUGACUCAAUAACCAGGAGUUUAAACUGAAAGCUGACAUUGAUAGCUUGACAGAGUACUUUUAGGCCUUCUCCCCUCAGUUAUAUGUACCAGAGGGAAAGAAGACAUUCUCAUAGGUGGAUGGGUUUGUCAGUCCUUUGGCAUCACUGAGGUGGCAACCCAAUUCUUGGAGGAAUUAAAAAUAGCUGUCCUAUUUUAUAUAUCUAGUCUUUACAGGAUCAGAACCGUGAUUCCAGAAACAAUUCAAAGACCUCCAAUCUUUUUUUACCACCCCCCAAACCUCCCCUAUUUAUCUCAAAAGUUUUUAAAUGUAAAAAUUCUGGCCUUAAGGAAACAAAAAUUUCUUCUAUGAGAAGCUUGUACUUUAUUUCCCUGUGCCUUUAAAGUGUUCAACCAGGUCUUCUCCAGGAACUCUUACCUAGUCCAUCUCAUUGAAAUGCAAAUUUCAGGGAGGUAAUUCUUACCAAGUAAAAACAAAAGGGAAGAAUCUUGUGGAACUUGACUUGCUAAGGACAAAUAUAAAUCUUAAGUGUCUUCUCCAUUCAUACUAGAAACAGCUCUAGCCAUCUAGACAUCUGCCAGAUGUCUAUUAUUCCAUCUACCAGAAAAACAAAUUCAGACCCAAGUUUUAUAACUAGCAAAUUUAGUUAGUACCUAUUUCAUGGCAGUAAUUUUAAAACAAGCUAUAAGAUCUCUAUAAGCAUUGGUAUGUUUACAUAAGUCUAUAUAUGUGCAUUGUAAUUAUGUGGUUACUUCCUACCUCUGGACAGUAUUGCUAAAAUUAAUUUGUAAUAGAGCUCUAUUUAGUUGGUUUGAAGGCAAGCACUUACAAAACUGAGGACUCUGAAACUCUCAGAUAAAAACGAAUCCAAGUAUUUUCCAAGUUCAUAUAUUCUGGAAAAAUAUUUGAUAGGAAAGCUAGUUUAAGGUUGAUGGUUUAAUUAAGACAAACAUGUUUUGGGACGCCUAGGUGGCUUACUGGGUUAAGAGUCUGACUUUGGCUCAGAUCACGAUCUCACAGUUCAUGGGUUUAAGCCCAGCAUCGGGCUCUGUGCUGAAGCAGCUUGGAGCCUACUUCAGAUUCUGUGUCUCCCUCUCUCUCUCUCUCUGCCCCUCCAUAAUCUGUGCACGUGCGCACGCUCUCUCUCUCUCAGAAAAUAAGCAUUAAAAAAAAGACAAACAUGUCUUUAGAGUUAUCAACAUUAUAUAUAAAACUUUUGAAUUUACUAGCCAAGUAAGUAAGUACAUGUUCUUUUAUAAGAUCUGUGAAUAAAAAAUAAUAGCUUAAGAUAAUGGCUGACUUUGCCUAAUGUUUCAAUGAGGUUUUAGUAAGUAAUUUAAAUAUGAUUUUAUUUUUUAAGCACUUUUAAAUUAAAAAAAAAUUUGUGUGUGUGAGAGAGAGACAGACAGACAACAUAAGCAGAGGAGGGCAGAGAGAGAGGGAGACACAGAACCCAAAGCAGGCUCCAGGCUCUGAGCUGUCAGCCCAGAGCCCGAAACAGGCCUCAAACUCACAAACUGCAAGAUUAUGACCUGAGCCAAAUUCAGACGCUUGACUGAGUCACUCAGGCAGACACCCCAGUAAUUUAAAUAUAAUUUUAAAGAACAAGUAGAGUAAAUAGAAAGUUUUAAGGAAACUUUUAAAAAAGUUUCUCCAAAUCUUUUUGGUAACUUGAAACCUUAAAGUUUUGCUAAGUUAAAUGACUUAAAUCUAUUAAAUAUCUAGAUUACUUCCAAAUAAAACAAAAUACUAAAACAUUAAUUUACUAAACAUAGGUUUAUCUACUUUUGGUUUUCUACUACAGGGAAACUAAAAGACAUCUGGAUGUAUUAAAGCUACAUUAGAAAAUUUUAAAUCAUUUAAAAUGAUUCUAGAAAAUUUGAAAUGUAUUCAUGAAUUUGCAAAUUAAAAGCAUGCUGGUAAACAGAUGUUCACAAAUGCUUCGUUUUCACUAGAAAUUAAGGUUUCUAAGGGUUAAGAAUUAUUUUUAAAUUUUUUUAUUAACAAUUUUUUUUAAAGAGUAUUUUUUUAUUUAGAGAGAGAGCAUGGUAGAGGGAGAAUCUUAAGCAGGCUCCAUGCCCAGUGGGGAGCCCAAUGCAGGGCUUGAUCUCAUAACCCUGAGAUCCUGACCUGAGCCAAAAUCAACAGUUGGGACGCUUAAAUGACUGAGCCACCCAGGCGGCCAAAAGUUAAGAAUUCUAAUUAAUAUAUGUAGUUGAAGCUACUAAAAAUAAUAAGGGAGGGGCGCCUGGGUGGCUCAGUCAGUUGAGUGUCUGACUUCGGCUCAGGUCAUGAUCUCACAGUUUGGGAGUUCAAGCCCCGUGUCAGGCUCUGUGCUGACAGCUCAGAGCCUGGAGCGUGCUUCAGAUUCUGUGUCUCCCUCUCUCUCUGCUCCUCCCCUGCUCACAUGCUGUCCCUCUCUCAAAAAUAAAUAAAGAUUAAAAAAAAAUUAAAAAAAAUAAUAAGGGAAACAUCUCCAUAUGCCAGGAAAACAGGAUGUGUUUUCAGCAAAAAAAAAAAAAAAAAAAAGGUAUGAAAAACAGAGAUGUAUUUUGUAUUUUUUGUUGAGGUAAAAGAGAGUAAUUUUGUCCUAAAGUGAGCCUGGUUGUUUAAAGAGAAAAAACAGGACAAAAUCAGAAUGCAGGAAAAAAGAAAAUGUUGGAUAGAAGGUUUGUGAAAAAGCAAUCUUUAAAAAGGAGUUUUAUGUGUGGUCAAGGUGGUUAAGAUAAAAAUUAUUUAAAAUGUUUUAAUAUCAAAAAUAAGCUGGUACAAAAUUAGAAAGUAGUAUUCCCUCUGUAAAAAAGGAUGAAGUUUUCUUACACUUUUGGUCUGCUUUUGAUAAGACUGUAAAAGUUUCUUUACCUUUUAUAUUUAAAUUUCAUAAUGAUCUGUGAUCCUUCAGGCAAGUGCUUUAAAAACUUUUUUUGACAGCGCAUACACCAAAGGAUUUGCUAAACCAAUUAGGCUUACUUGAUAUGCAUAUUACAUGGAAAGCACUGGCAAACAAGUAAUACAAAGUCUUGCUUAUAUUUGUAAGAUGUGGCACAUGUGGAUGAAGUCCAUUUGGUUGCUGCAAAAAUGGCCCCUUAUUGCCAGACUUCUGCCAUCCUAAUGUCCUUGUAACAUGGCAACAAUGUACUCAAAUCUGAGAAAGUAAGAGGGGAUAAGCAAUGGCUGUAAAUUACAGUUGGGGCAAAAGAAACUGAAGACAGCAGCUUGGUUCUUUCUGGCUCCCUGACAAACCCCAUUUCCCAUUUUUUGCACACCUUCACCUACUGUACAUUUAAGAGGACUCAAAUUAUGAAAAGGCAUUGGUGUGAGGCUUGUGUAAAAUUACAAAAACGGUCUACCAAGACCUGACCUGUCUGGUCCAUAAUCAUGGAAAAAUUGUUUGUAUUUGGAGGCUUCAGAUCUCCUUCUGGACCCUUUUAAUACCUGCAGGUGGACUUUAUUCAACUAUCACUUCGUAUGGGUUAUCAGUGUUCUUGUUAUUGUAUGUGUGUUUUCCAGAUGUGCUGAAGCCUUUUCCUGCUGUAAGGCACAUUGAAAAAAACAAACUGCUAGAAAAUGUGAAAUACUCUCUUGGGGUAUACCUUCCAUGGUCUCUAAUAAUCAAAGCACUACGUAAGUCACACUUCACUGGGCAAAUCAUAUUAGCCUUAAUGAAAACCUCACCAACUUCUUGGAAUUCUAUUAGAAUUGAAUACAAUUCUGCACAACCUUCUGCUGAGUCUCUGUUGUCUCACACUGGCAUGACCAGCUACAGUAAGUCUCUAAUGUCUUAUGCUUAAGCCUGUCAUCAACAGGUUAGAGAAGCCUUCCUGGAUCCUAAUUCAAAGGAAACCUUCAGUCACAAUCUGUAGCCUGGUGACUGGGUAUUUUAAAAAUAUCACCAGAGGAAGACAACCCUUGAAUCCUAUUGGAAGAGACCUUCCUUCCCAAGUGCUCCUGGCACUGUUGCAAAUCUAGAAGAUGCUAUCGACCUCAAAAUCAAAUUGACAAGAAAGAGAAGUAGCUGACAUCAUAGAAUGCUUCUGCCCAAGAUGACAGAUCAAGACUUCAUACUCUAAGUCAACAUAAAACCUUCUUCCUCUUUUCCUUUCCUUUAUUCUACAUUGGCCUGUAAAGAUAACACCCUCAUCUGUAGCUCCCAGGCCACUGCUAAAGUGGGGUAACCUCUGGAAUUUAAACAACCUUUUAUUUCAGGGUAGGAGAAAAUCUAACAACUGUGCCUUCAACUUUUCACAAGCAAAGUAAGACAUUUCAUUGUUUUAGCUCCCCUAAAUUUAAAUUGUUGAGUUAAAAAGGACCUACACUGGAUGCUUUUGUGAUUUGGGAUUCACUCCUUUUGGCAGAUCCCUGUAUUUCCCUGGUUAGGGAUAAAGGUAAAUGAGACGGCGAUCAAGAACUUCUCCUUAAUUCUUAAAUUAUAAAAUUUGCUGCUAAAGAAAUAGCAGCCCAGCAAAGAUCUUAGAUUCUGCAGCCAAAGUUGUCCUUGAUAAUGGAAUACCUCUUACGUUUUAGUUGAGCAAAGAGGUGUCUAUGCUGUGGGGGCUAUCUGCUAUGCCUAGAGUAAUACGGGGAAGCGGAAACUCAGUUAUAUAAGAUCGAAGAACAGGUUGCUUAGCUUAAAAAGUGGAUUCCUUCCAGAGUCUUUGAGUUAUUUGCUUUUGACUGGUGCUAAUGGUCUUCCUCUCCUUUGUAUCCCCACACCCCUACCCCUCUCCUUAGCGUAGGAUGUCACGUAACCUCACAUUGCCUAUCUUCGUGAUUUCAUAUCUGUAGGGACUCCCUGUGUAUAUAUGAAACUAAAUCUGAUUUCCUCCCGUUAAACUGUCUCAUGUCAAUUUGAUUCUUAGUCCAGCUAAAAGAACCUUGAAGGGCAGAGGACAUUCCUUCUUCCAGACAGCUGGCAUAGUUGGUGGGAUAACCUGCUGAUGGCAUUAUCCCUGGGUGCUGCUGCAGCAGAGAGCUCCCCAGGAAAUCUGAAAUGCAGCCUGCAGGAGAAUGUUGUAUUUUAGACAGAUCUGCACAGAUUCAGAUAUGAGCAGACAGCUUUAAGGAACUAAGAUGGACUUUAUGGGGCAUAAAAAGCCCCUUUGGAAAUAUCAUCCUGAUUGAUACCUUGCUUACAGAGUACCCAGCAGCUUUACCAGAGAGACAGCAAGAGAGAGAGAGAGAGCAUGAGUGGGGGAGUGACGGAGAGAAAGGGAGACACAGAAUCCAAAGCAAGCUCCAGGCUCUGAGCUGUCAGCACACAGCCCGACAUGGGGCUCCAACUCAUGGACUGCGAGAUCAUGACCCGAGCCAAAGUCGGAUGCUCAACUGACUGAGCCACCCAGUGUAUUUAUUUUUGAGAGAGAGAGUGACAGCAUGUGCAUGAGCAGGGAAGGGGCAGAGAGAGAGGGGGACAGAAGAUCCAAAGCAGGCUCUGUGCUGACAGCAGUGAGCCUGACAUGGGGCUCGAACUCAUGAACUGUGAGAUCAUGACCUGAGCUGAAGCUGGACACUUAACUGACUGAGUCACCUAGGUGCCCCAUUUAUCAACUUUUCUAUUCCUGUAUUAUCACACAAUUUAAAUUAUUGCUUUGACAACUGGUUAUUUUUUGUGCUUGUUCCUUUUUCUUUUUUGCUAUUCCUAAGCAGUCCUUGUACUUACACAUGAACUUUAGUAUCAGCCUAGAAACUCUGCAGUUUUUUUCUACAUAAUUGAAAUCAUACUGCAUAUGUAAUGUUAUAUGUUAGUUCUCUAUCUUAUUUCUCAUUAUCAGUAAAUAUUCUUCAAGCAAUACCA